rnacentral:lncRNA from 1 species
UUUAAGUGUGUGUUCUGGUCGUGAAUCGCAGGAGAGCCAGGGGGUUCCAUGCCCAAACCCUAGCCAGCAAAAAUCAAGCAAUUGAGAAGCCAAAUCGACUCCAAAUUGAAAUCUAAGCUUGGAUUAGUGAUCACUUCAGUGAAAGGAUCAUAAGGUAUGUCAAAAUUUCCACUUUUUUUGUCGCCUAACGAGCUAGGUGGAAGCUUGGGAAAGAAGCGGUCAAACGAAUCAAGCACGAAAAGAAAAGCAUAUUCGGAUGCGAGGUAAGUGGAGCUUACGCCCCUUUACAUUGCUUGCAAAAUUACUUAAUUUCAAGUAUUGCAUAUGAAUGCUACUAAGUGUUGGUAUACAAUGUUCCGACACGAUUCAAUGAGAGUCGGAACAAG